AUAGUCUGGGGAAAGCUCCUGUAUUGUGGAAGCUGCCAAAGGACAGUGCAGCUUUGUACCUGACAGCCUUUAACCUAAAGAAAAUUCCCAAGGGAACAUUCCCUAAGGUUAGAAUUUGCAGUAACAGAUGUGAAAUCCUAGUAGCAGUUUGAUGACCAUGUAUGAUACGAAGAAGAGA